rnacentral:lncRNA from 1 species
GCUCCUAAAGCUCCACCUCGCACUGAGAUACCUAUCAGGUAAUAAUAUCCUCUGCUCCCCUUCUUCUCCUCCAGCAUAAUCCUAUCGCCGCGUAGCACCCUCAGGAUUCCUCUACUAGCUACUGUCCUGUAGUCUUUCGAAUCUAGUCUGCUCAGUGAGAUAAGUUCUGUCUGAAAUCAGAUAUGUAUCGGAUCUCUCCCAAUCUUCUCACUGUACCAUCAUGUAUCUCCCAACUGAUCAUCUCAAUAUCUUUGAUCACACAGCUCGAUCCAUCCGGUAGAUAUACAGUGCCCUCACUGUUCUCCAGAGAGUCAAACUACUCCUCUCUACAACAUACUGAAGGAACCAGAUCUAGGAUUUCAGGAUUAGAUCUUGAAACU